rnacentral:rRNA from 1 species
AUUGAACGCUGGCGGCAGGCCUAACACAUGCAAGUCGAGCGGAUGAAGGGAGCUUGCUCCUGGAUUCAGCGGCGGACGGGUGAGUAAUGCCUAGGAAUCUGCCUGGUAGUGGGGGAUAACGUCCGGAAACGGGCGCUAAUACCGCAUACGUCCUGAGGGAGAAAGUGGGGGAUCUUCGGACCUCACGCUAUCCGAUGAGCCUAGGUCGGAUUAGCUAGUUGGUGGGGUAAAGGCCUACCAAGGCGACGAUCCGUAACUGGUCUGAGAGGAUGAUCAGUCACACUGGAACUGAGACAAGGUCCAGACUCCUACGGGAGGCAGCAGUGGGGAAUAUUGGACAAUGGGCGAAAGCCUGAUCCAGCCAUGCCGCGUGUGUGAAGAAGGUCUUCGGAUUGUAAAGCACUUUAAGUUGGGAGGAAGGGCAGUAAGUUAAUACCUUGCUGUUUUGACGUUACCAACAGAAUAAGCACCGGCUAACUUCGUG